rnacentral:rRNA from 1 species
CCUACGGGAGGCAGCAGUGCGGAAUUUUGCACAAUGGGGGAAACCCUGAUGCAGCAACGCCGCGUGAGUGAUGAAGGUCUUCGGAUUGUGAAGCUCUGUCUUUGGGGACGAUAAUGACGGUACCGAAGGAGGAAGCCACGGCUAACUACGUGCCAGCAGGCGCGGUAAU